AUUGAACGCUGGCGGCAUGCCUUACACAUGCAAGUCUAACGGCAGCGGGCCUUCGGGUGCCGGCGAGUGGCGAACGGGUGAGUAAUGCAUCGGAACGUGCCAUUGAGUGGGGGGAUAACGUAGCGAAAGUUGCGCUAAUACCGCAUAUUCUGUGAGCAGGAAAGCAGGGGACCGCAAGGCCUUGCGCUCUUUGAGCGGCCGAUGUCAGAUUAGCUAGUUGGUGAGGUAAAGGCUUACCAAGGCGACGAUCUGUAGCGGGUCUGAGAGGAUGAUCCGCCACACUGGAACUGAGACACGGUCCAGACUCCUACGGGAGGCAGCAGUGGGGAAUUUUGGACAAUGGGGGCAACCCUGAUCCAGCCAUGCCGCGUGAGUGAAGAAGGCC
rnacentral:rRNA from 1 species